rfam:Schizophyllum commune H4-8 unplaced genomic scaffold SCHCOscaffold_7, whole genome shotgun sequence.
GCAUUAAUGGGGUAGUGGUAACCUGGGUCGUUGCCAUCGAGCAACGCUCGACCCGCCGGGGGUUCGAUUCCCCCUUAAUGCA